UUAACAAAAAAUAACGAACAUCAGUACAUCAUAUUGUAAAACCAAUAAUAAAAACUCUUCGCUAAGAAUCUAAAAAUUGGGUCAAAUAAAACAAAUAACUGAUACAGCUACUGGGAGUACUACUAUCGCAGACGUAAAGUUGGGAUGGACAUAUUAUAGGAUAAUUUAGUUGAUAUAUGUAUACGAUAAAUCGUUUCUAACGAAAAAAUAUUGCAAACGAAAUU